CAAAUCACUUCUUUCAACUGCUGCCCAUCCCUUCUGAUUUCUGCUGUUUGUCUUCUCAGUCCUCUUCCGAAGGGCUCUUCUGGAUAUUUUGGGAAAUGUUCUUUGACUGCUGAGUCUCAUAACAAGUGCAGUUAUUUAUGUCUAAUCAUUUUUCCCAGUUCUAAAGUUUGUCACCCAAUAUCAUUGCUGCAGACACUGUGUGGUUUCCUGUGGGCACCUAUCAGUUUAUCACUGGAAAAUAACGAAUGGGCAAAGGGAGAGCGGGUAAUGGCUGCAGCACGUAUGGGGCUCACAGCACCGCAUCAGCUCUGCUGCUGCUUUUCUACUCAGAAAAGAGACCAGCUGACUGAGAAAGUACUGUUGCCUUCAGCAGCAAAAAGGAUUUGGGCUUCAAGCCUGCCUCAAAAGGGCUACAGAGUAAGAAGCAUGCAGCAUUUCACCAUUCCUGCAGAAAAGACCAACCAAAUGCUUAAUGAAGGAAGUCUCAUUUCUGAACAGUUAACCAUGGUUCCAGUCUCAUAAUGAUCUAGGACUACUUUGGCCUUGUUUUCCUCUUGCAGUGUUAUCCCAUCGUCAGCCACUGAGAUAAAGCCACUUUUCUUGCCUAUCAGGAAGAGAGUUAUUCUUUCAUUCUCCCAAAUUAUGAUUGACUUGGCCUCUGAUGCUCUUUGCUCAACUUAUGCAUAGGUAAGCAGGUAAAAGACACUGUGGUCUUAACAUAAGAAACACGGGGCAAUAGGCAGUGAAAGAUGGUCAAAAGAAAAGGAAACAAACAGAUUUCAGACAAAUAAAUUGGAUUGAAGAGUUUUCCUGAACUACUGA
rnacentral:lncRNA from 1 species